CUGAGUUCUAACUUAGGAUCCCAGGAUACACUCUGUCUGUUCUCCAUAGCCCCAGUGGUUAGGAAAAAGAGACUCUUCUCCCCCUGUAUCCCCCAGUAGCAGAUACGUCCACCAUCAGAUAUCCUCUCAAAUCCACCUGCAAGUCAUUAGUGGAUAUUCCUGUGUCCUGAUGAAUGGUCCAGAGCAAAGAAGAAAUAGAGCAAUCCUGCCCACCUGUUGUUGGAUGAGAUCGGAAACAGCAGGAGCUAAGGAAGGACUGAUGGUUUGGACCUGACCCAGGUGGACAGCUGCAAGAACAAAGAAUUCCUACACCAAGAAGUUUGCAACAACAACAGCCCUUCCCCUCCCCUUUUUUAAGGAGCCCUGUACUCUGACUUGAGGAAGAUAGGUUCUCCAAGACAUUAGUCGGCCAUCCUC